GGGCGCUUGGUCUAGGGGUAUGAUUUUCGCUUCGCAUUAAUGUGUGUGUUUGUGAAAGGUCGUGGGUUCAAUUCCCACAGCGUCCA
rnacentral:tRNA from 1 species